rnacentral:rRNA from 1 species
UACGGAGGAUGCAAGCGUUAUCCGGAAUGAUUGGGCGUAAAGCGUCCGCAGGUGGCUAUGUAAGUCUGCUGUUAAAGAGUGAGGCUCAACCUCAUAAAAGCAGUGGAAACUACAUGGCUAGAGUGCGUUCGGGGCAGAGGGAAUUCCUGGUGUAGCGGUGAAAUGCGCAGAUAUCAGGAAGAACACCCGUGGCGAAGGCGGCUCUCUGGAACGCAACUGACGCUGAGACGCGAAAGCGUGGGGAGCAAACAGG